rnacentral:tRNA from 1 species
GGAGGGAUGGCCGAGUGGUUUAAGGCGCACGCCUGGAAAGCGUGUUGGGGGCAACCCCUCACGGGUUCGAAUCCCGUUCCCUCCGCCA